AGGCUCUAAGAAAAGUCACUGAAAAUGUCAGCCCAGCCAACAGAGAAAGGCUCGGAGAGCAGCUAAGACAUGGCAUAUACAUUUUCAUCUAUUCAAUCUGACCCUGGGCCCACUGCCAUAAUCUUUUUUAAGGGAUGAGGUAUUAGAGCUGGACUGAACUGAGGCCCAGCUCCAAGAGAAGUUGCCAACAGCAGUCAUUGGGAACUUUUACAAGCUAUUGUAGUAAAAGGUUUAAGGGGAGGCUAUGAUGCAAGGAACUGAAGAGUGAAGAGAAAAAGAGUUGUGAGAAGGAAGGGAUUUGAAGAGAUUGGGUGUUCACUGGAGGAAGAUGUAUAGCACCCGAAAUGGAGAACCAAGAAAGAGGGAAUACCUAACGGAGCAAUGGUCUCACAUGCAGGAUGCAGUCUCCAGGAAUUAUCCUUAAAGGGAGUUGCUAUUUCUUUUUUCAAACCAAUAGAGAAGGCGGUGUAAAAGGACAAAAUAUAAAUAAACUUGGAAUUAAAUAGAAAAGGAAGUUAAGAGCACUGCUACCUAAUAAACACAAAAUAGCUACAAUUGAGGAUCGACUGUGUUCUAAGCUCUUUGAACACAUCAU
rnacentral:lncRNA from 1 species